rnacentral:pre_miRNA from 1 species
CAUGCAUCAGUGGGGUCCCUUGGCUUGGCCUGUGCCUUCUUGCAAUCGGGACCCCUCGAGGGAUGUCAGAGAGAUGGUUUCAGCCCAAUCCCCACAGGCCAGGCCAAGGGACCCCACUGGUGCAUG